AUUGAACGCUGGCGGCAGGCCUAACACAUGCAAGUCGAGCGGCAGCGGGAAAGUAGCUUGCUACUUUUGCCGGCGAGCGGCGGACGGGUGAGUAAUGCCUGGGAAAUUGCCCAGUCGAGGGGGAUAACAGUUGGAAACGACUGCUAAUACCGCAUACGCCCUACGGGGGAAAGCAGGGGACCUUCGGUCCUUGCGCGAUUGGAUAUGCCAAGGUGGGAUUAGCUAGUUGGUGAGGUAAUGGGUCACCAAGGCGACGAUCCCUAGCUGGUCUGAGAGGGUGAUCAGCCACACUGGAACUGAGACACGGUCCAGACUCCUACGGGAGGCAGCAGUGGGGAAUAUUGCACAAUGGGGGAAACCCUGAUGCAGCCAUGCCGCGUGUGUGAAGAAGGCCUUCGGGUUGUAAGGCACUUUCAGCGAGGAGGAAAGGUCAGUAGCUAAUAUCUGCUGACUGUGACGUUACUCGCAGAAGAAGCACCGGCUAACUCCGUGCCAGCCGCCGCCGUAAGAC
rnacentral:rRNA from 1 species